rnacentral:rRNA from 1 species
CCAGCCAUAAACAGACAGUCAAACCAACAAACUGUCCGCCAGAGAACUACUAGCGAAAAGCUUAAAACUCAAAGGACUUGACGGUGUCCCAUAUCAACCUAGAGGAGCCUGUCCUACAAUCGAUAACCCACGCUUCACCCUACCUGCUCUCGCCCUAAGCCUAUAUACCGCCGUCUCCAGCCUACCUAAUGAUAGCCCGCCAGUAGGCACCAUCGCCACCCACACCCACGUCAGGUCAAGGUGUAGCUAAUGAGCAGGCAGAGAUGGGCUACAUUUUCUCUCAAGAAGAAAAAACCCACCGCGCAAUGAAACCACGCAAACAAGGAGGAUUUAGCAGUAAGCCUGAUAUAAACCACGCCAGACUGAACCCUGCUCUGGGACG